rnacentral:rRNA from 14 species
UGCAUGGCUGUCGUCAGCUCGUGUCGUGAGAUGUUGGGUUAAGUCCCGCAACGAGCGCAACCCCCAUCUUCAGUUGCCAGCGGUUCGGCCGGGCACUCUGGAGAAACUGCCGGUGAUAAGCCGGAGGAAGGCGGGGAUGACGUCAAGUCCUCAUGGCCCUUACGCCCAGGGAUGCAAACGUGCUACAAUGGCGCGUACAGAGCGAUGCUAACUCGCGAGAGUACGCAAAUCGCAAAAAGCGCGCCCCAGUUCGGAUUGCAGGCUGCAACUCGCCUGCAUGAAGCCGGAAUCGCUAGUAAUCGGAGAUCAGCUACGCUCCGGUGAAUACGUUCCUGAGCCUUGUACACACCGCCCGUCAAGUCAU